rnacentral:rRNA from 1 species
GACGAACGCUGGCGGCGUGCUUAACACAUGCAAGUCGAGCGGUAAGGCCCUUUCGGGGGUACACGAGCGGCGAACGGGUGAGUAACACGUGGGUGACCUGCCUUUAGCUCUGGGAUAAGCCUGGGAAACCGGGUCUAAUACCGGAUAUGACUCCGCGGCGCAUGUUGUGGGGUGGAAAGCCUUGUGCGGCUGGAGAUGGGCCCGCGGCCUAUCAGCUUGUUGGUGGGGUGAUGGCCUACCAAGGCGACGACGGGUAGCCGGCCUGAGAGGGCGACCGGCCACACUGGGACUGAGACACGGCCCAGACUCCUACGGGAGGCAGCAGUGGGGAAUCUUGCGCAAUGGGCGAAAGCCUGACGCAGCGACGCCGCGUGAGGGAUGACGGCCUCGG